GAGUGAUCAAGCGUCAAAAGGGCAUUUCGUGGAUGCCUUGGCACUGAGAGGCGAUGAAAGACGUGGCACGCUGCGAUAAGCCACGGGGAGCCGCGAGCAGGCUUUGAUCCGUGGAUUUCUGAAUGGGGAAACCCCACCGUAAGGUGAUCCUUCACUGAAUACAUAGGUGAAGGAGGCGAACCGGGCGAACUGAAACAUCUAAGUAGCCCGAGGAAAGGACAUCAACCGAGACUCCGCUAGUAGUGGCGAGCGAACGCGGACCAGCCCAGUGCUGGUGUGUACAUAAUCCGAAGCUUCUGGAAAGGAGCGCCAUAGCGGGUGACAGCCCCGUAGGAGUAAACCGCACAUCAGCCUCGAGUAAGGCGGGACACGUGAAAUCCUGUCUGAACAUGGGGGGACCACCCUCCAAGGCUAAGUACUCCUCAGUGACCGAUAGCGAACAAGUACCGUGAGGGAAAGGUGAAAAGCACCCCGACAAGGGGAGUGAAAGAGAACCUGAAACGGAAUGCCUACAAGCAGUCGGAGCCUCUUCAAGGGGUGACGGCGUACCUUUUGUAUAAUGGGUCAGCGAGUUAGUGUAUGCAGCAAGCUUAAGCCGGUAGGCGUAGGCGUAGCGAAAGCGAGUCUGAAUAGGGCGUCGAGUUGCAUGCAUUAGACCCGAAACCGGGUGAUCUAGCCAUGGGCAGGUUGAAGGUGGGGUAACACCCACUGGAGGACCGAACUCACGUCUGUUGAAAAAGACGGAGAUGACCUGUGGUUAGGGGUGAAAGGCCAAUCAAACUCGGAAAUAGCUGGUUCUCCGCGAAAGCUAUUUAGGUAGCGCCUCGGACUUAUACCAUCGGGGGUAGAGCACUGGAUGGGCUAGGGGGUCCCAAAGACCUACCAAACCUAACCAAACUCCGAAUACCGAUGAGUACUAUCCGGGAGACAGACGUCGGGUGCUAAGGUCCGGCGUCAAAAGGGAAACAGCCCAGACCGCCAGCUAAGGUCCCCAAGUCAUGGCUAAGUGGAAAAGGAUGUAAGACGGCCAAAACAACCAGGAGGUUGGCUUAGAAGCAGCCAUCCUUUAAAGAAAGCGUAAUAGCUCACUGGUCUAAUAGCUGUCUCGCGCCGAAGAUGUACCGGGGCUCAAGCCAUGCACCGAAGCUGCGGGUGUGCAGCAAUGCACGCGGUAGCGGAGCGUUCCGUAAGCCGAUGAAGCCAUACGCGUGAGCUGUGGUGGAGGUAUCGGAAGUGAGAAUGCUGACAUAAGUAGCGACAAACAGUGUGAGAAACACUGUCGCCGAAAGUCCAAGGGUUCCUGCGCAAGGCUAAUCCACGCAGGGUAAGCCGGCCCCUAAGGCGAGGGCGAAAGCCGUAGUCGAUGGGAACCACGUUAAUAUUCGUGGGCCUGCUGGAAGUGACGACUCCCGUGUAUCGUAUCUCCUUAUCGGAUUGGAGGUGCGGUGAAGGGGGUCCAGGAAAUAACUCCAGCGUAUAGACCGUACCCGAAACCGACACAGGUGGACUGGUAGAGUAUACCAAGGCGCUUGAGAGAAUGAUGUUGAAGGAACUAGGCAAAUUGACCCCGUAACUUCGGGAUAAGGGGUACCUCUCUCAGCGCAAGCUUUGGGGGGUGGCACAGACCAGGGGGUGGCGACUGUUUACUAAAAACACAGGGCUCUGCGAAGUCGAAAGACGACGUAUAGGGUCUGACGCCUGCCCGGUGCCGGAAGGUUAAAAGGAGGGGUGCAAGCUCUGAAUUGAAGCCCCGGUAAACGGCGGCCGUAACUAUAACGGUCCUAAGGUAGCGAAAUUCCUUGUCGGGUAAGUUCCGACCUGCACGAAUGGCGUAACGACUUCCCCGCUGUCUCCAACAUCAACUCAGCGAAAUUGAAUUCUCCGUGAAGAUGCGGAGUACCCGUGGCUAGACGGAAAGACCCCGUGCACCUUUACUACAACUUUGCAGUGGUACUAGGAUGUGGAUGUGUAGGAUAGGUGGGAGCCUAUGAAGCGCAGGCGCCAGCUUGCGUGGAGGCAACCUUGAAAUACCACCCUUCUGCUUCCUGGUAUCUAACCGCGCUCCGUGAACCCGGAGCCGGGACCCUGCAUGGUGGGUAGUUUGACUGGGGCGGUCGCCUCCCAAAGAGUAACGGAGGCGCGCGAUGGUGGGCUCAGGCUGGUCGGAAAUCAGCUGUCGAGUGCAAUGGCAUAAGCCCGCCUGACUGUGAGACAGACAAGUCGAACAGAGACGAAAGUCGGUCAUAGUGAUCCGGUGGUCCCGAGUGGAAGGGCCAUCGCUCAACGGAUAAAAGGUACGCCGGGGAUAACAGGCUGAUCUCCCCCAAGAGUCCACAUCGACGGGGAGGUUUGGCACCUCGAUGUCGGCUCAUCACAUCCUGGGGCUGGAGCAGGUCCCAAGGGUUCGGCUGUUCGCCGAUUAAAGUGGUACGUGAGCUGGGUUUAGAACGUCGUGAGACAGUUCGGUCCCUAUCUACCAUGGGUGUUGGAAACUUGAGAGGACCUGUCCCUAGUACGAGAGGACCGGGAUGGACAUACCUCUAGUGUACCGGUUGUCGCGCCAGCGGCAUCGCCGGGUAGCCAUGUAUGGACGAGAUAACCGCUGAAUGCAUCUAAGCGGGAAGCUCCCCUCAAAACCAGGUUUCCCUAUCAGAGCCGUGGAAGACCACCACGUUGAUAGGCAGCAUGUGGAAGCGUGGUAACACGUGAAGCUAAGCUGUACUAAUCGCUCGAUCGGCUUGAUUACCCAUGCG
rnacentral:rRNA from 2 species